rnacentral:tRNA from 1 species
GCCGAUGUAGCUCAGUGGUAGAGCAGCGGUAUCGUAAACCGCUGGUCGUCGGUUCAAUCCGACCAUCGGCU